GGUGAUUGAUUAACUCAGUCUUGGGCCUUGCGCUGGGAUAUAGACGGCUAUCCCCAUGCAGAAGGUCAACAGAGGAGAAUUUGGAAAGUUAAGUGACUUCCCCAACAUCCCACGGCAGGAGAACAGAUUACUGAAAAUUUCAAGUCUCAACCACACACUGCAUCACUUAAAGCCCUGACAGAAAUUGUGCUUGACAAAGAGGUUCGUGCCUGACCAGAGCCUGACACUGAAAUGUAUUGAUUUCGUCACCGGGUGUGAUUUUGCUGCUUCUACCCAAUGCCACAUCAGGAGCCCAC